UACGUAGGGGGCUAGCGUUGUCCGGAAUCAUUGGGCGUAAAGAGCGUGUAGGCGGCCUGAUAAGUCGGCUGUGAAAGUCAAGGGCUCAACCCUUGAAUGCCGGCCGAUACUGUCAGGCUAGAGUCCGGAAGAGGCGAGUGGAAUUCCUGGUGUAGCGGUGAAAUGCGCAGAUAUCAGGAGGAACACCUAUGGCGAAGGCAGCUCGCUGGGACGGUACUGACGCUGAGACGCGAAAGCGUGGGGAGCGAACAGG
rnacentral:rRNA from 1 species